rnacentral:tRNA from 1 species
GGGAGCGUGGCUUAGCUGGUUAGAGCGUCGGCUUGUCGCGCCGAAAAUCACGGGUUCAAAUCCCGUCGUUCUCGACA